GUUUUCAAUCGUCAUCUAAUCAAUGGAUUCCUUUUAAAUGAUGGCUCGACAACUUCACUUUGAUCGAUGCCUUUGAAAUUCCCGCCGAAUUUGUUGCCAACGCCUCGUAGGCAAAACAGUUCAAAGUAGCAACCCUGGUUCUAAACCCACAAGAAUUCACCGACCAUCAAGAAAUGUUGCUCAGAAGUUAUAGCACACCGUAUUAUUCAAAUUUCCUGGAGUACUCACUUCCAAUUCUAUACUACCUACUCAAUGUGGAUUGGGAUUGUCAGUAUAAGAUCGUGGCAUUCGGCAUAUGGACCCUUCAUUUUGUCAAAAGGCUCUUCGAAAACGUGUUUGUCCAUAUCCAUGGACCUGAGAAGAAGCUUGCCUUAAUUGACAUCAUCGUCAAUUGCGCUUAUUACCACGGAUUUGCUUUGUGGAUUUCUCAUAGUGUCAAUAGCCCAUUUCCUUGUGCUCAAUUGGAUCUUGGGUCCUAUCUUAUUAUUUGCUCAUGGGUUGUGUGUCAAUACGCCAAUUAUUCAUGCCAUAUGGCUCUUAGAGAGCAAAAAUUAUUUUCCUCUGAAAGAACUGUGCCUUCGCCAUCUUCUAAAUAUCUGUUUUCAAAGGCGUUUAAUUGGGUGGUAUGCCCAAACUAUCUGUUUGAAGUGUUGGGAUGGGUUGCAUUUGCCAUGUUAGUCAACUCAUUGUCUGCAUGGAUUUUUGCCUUUGUUGGAUUCAGUGUCAUGGCUUAUUGGGCCAGAGAGAAACAUUCCAACUACGUGGAAAGAUUUCCCAGCAGCCUUUCUAACAGAAAAUCAAUCAUUCCAUUCCUUCUGUGAUGAGCCAGUAAUGAUCAUUUUUUUAUUCUUAUUGAACACGUUUCUUCAAAUUUAUCCCCAAAUAGGAAUGAAUAAAGACAACAUUUAUUUUCAUGAA